rnacentral:rRNA from 1 species
AUUGAACGCUAGCGGCAGGCCUAACACAUGCAAGUCGAGCGGAUGAGGAAAGCUUGCUUUUCGAUUCAGCGGCGGACGGGUGAGUAAUGCCUAGGAAUCUGCCUGUUAGUGGGGGAUAACUCGGGGAAACUCGGGCUAAUACCGCAUACGUCCUACGGGAGAAAGUGGGGGAUCUUCGGACCUCACGCUAACAGAUGAGCCUAGGUCGGAUUAGCUAGUAGGUGAGGUAAUGGCUCACCUAGGCGACGAUCCGUAACUGGUCUGAGAGGAUGGUCAGUCACACUGGAACUGAGACACGGUCCCGACUCCUACGGGAGGCAGCAGUGGGGAAUAUUGGACGAUGGGCGAAAGCCUGAUCCAGCCAUGCCGCGUGUGUGAAGAAGGUCUUCGGAUUGUAAAGCACUUUAAGUUGGGAGGAAGGGUAUUCACCUAAUACGUGGGUACUUUGACGUUACCAACAGAAUAAGCACCGGCUAACUCUGUGCCAGCAGCCGCAGUAACAC